rnacentral:rRNA from 1 species
AGAGUUUGAUCAUGGCUCAGAUUGAACGCUGGCGGCAGGCCUAACACAUGCAAGUCGAACGGUAACAGGAAGCAGCUUGCUGCUUCGCUGACGAGUGGCGGACGGGUGAGUAAUGUCUGGGAAGCUGCCUGAUGGAGGGGGAUAACUACUGGAAACGGUAGCUAAUACCGCAUAAUGUCGCAAGACCAAAGAGGGGGACCUUCGGGCCUCUUGCCAUCGGAUGUGCCCAGAUGGGAUUAGCUUGUUGGUGGGGUAACGGCUCACCAAGGCGACGAUCCCUAGCUGGUCUGAGAGGAUGACCAGCCACACUGGAACUGAGACACGGUCCAGACUCCUACGGGAGGCAGCAGUGGGGAAUAUUGCACAAUGGGCGCAAGCCUGAUGCAGCCAUGCCGCGUGUAUGAAGAAGGCCUUCGGGUUGUAAAGUACUUUCAGCGGGGAGGAAGGGAGUAAAGUUAAUACCUUUGCUCAUUGACGUUACCCGCAGAAGAAGCACCGGCUAACUCCGUGCCAGCAGCCGCGGUAAUACGGAGGGUGCAAGCGUUAAUCGGAAUUACUGGGCGUAAAGCGCACGCAGGCGGUUUGUUAAGUCAGAUGUGAAAUCCCCGGGCUCAACCUGGGAACUGCAUCUGAUACUGGCAAGCUUGAGUCUCGUAGAGGGGGGUAGAAUUCCAGGUGUAGCGGUGAAAUGCGUAGAGAUCUGGAGGAAUACCGGUGGCGAAGGCGGCCCCCUGGACGAAGACUGACGCUCAGGUGCGAAAGCGUGGGGAGCAAACAGGAUUAGAUACCCUGGUAGUCCACGCCGUAAACGAUGUCGACUUGGAGGUUGUGCCCUUGAGGCGUGGCUUCCGGAGCUAACGCGUUAAGUCGACCGCCUGGGGAGUACGGCCGCAAGGUUAAAACUCAAAUGAAUUGACGGGGGCCCGCACAAGCGGUGGAGCAUGUGGUUUAAUUCGAUGCAACGCGAAGAACCUUACCUGGUCUUGACAUCCACGGAAGUUUUCAGAGAUGAGAAUGUGCCUUCGGGAACCGUGAGACAGGUGCUGCAUGGCUGUCGUCAGCUCGUGUUGUGAAAUGUUGGGUUAAGUCCCGCAACGAGCGCAACCCUUAUCCUUUGUUGCCAGCGGUCCGGCCGGGAACUCAAAGGAGACUGCCAGUGAUAAACUGGAGGAAGGUGGGGAUGACGUCAAGUCAUCAUGGCCCUUACGACCAGGGCUACACACGUGCUACAAUGGCGCAUACAAAGAGAAGCGACCUCGCGAGAGCAAGCGGACCUCAUAAAGUGCGUCGUAGUCCGGAUUGGAGUCUGCAACUCGACUCCAUGAAGUCGGAAUCGCUAGUAAUCGUGGAUCAGAAUGCCACGGUGAAUACGUUCCCGGGCCUUGUACACACCGCCCGUCACACCAUGGGAGUGGGUUGCAAAAGAAGUAGGUAGCUUAACCUUCGGGAGGGCGCUUACCACUUUGUGAUUCAUGACUGGGGUGAAGUCGUAACAAGGUAACCGUAGGGGAUCCUGCGGUUG